rnacentral:ribozyme from 2 species
AUCACAACUCUACCUUCGAUUCAUCCAUCUUUUCGGAGGUGGAUGAAUCGAUGCCGGUUCCAAGUCCGGAUAAAAGAGGAGGAUGAU